UAUGCUGACAUGGCACGGGGAAGAGAGAGAAAAGUACCGUGUCGUGGUGACGAAACGGCCCCAGCUCCGGUUACCCAGACGGACGACACUGCGUUGAGCGGGGCUUCGUUUCGUCCGGGUCCGCGGCGGAGAUCCCGUGCGCCGCCCUCCCUCCCGCCAAUCUUCCCGCCCUCCCUCCCGCCAUUCUCCCUUCCAAGGCUGACCAAUAUAUGGAGUUUCCAAUCUGCUUCCUCUCCCUUCCAGUCUCACCUCCCUCCCCCUUCCAAUCUUGACGCCCGACGUCUGGUUCCUCGCCGCCACCAAUGGCUAGCUGAGAGAGGAAGGGCGGCUCCAAGAAGCGGACGGCACCGCCACCACCAGCUGCUGCGCCAUCACCACCGCCACCAGGAUCUGCUGCGCCACCACCACCAGCUGCUGCGCCAUCCCCACGGCCAACGCCAUAAGCAGCAUGGUGGCCGGAUUCCGGUUCUGGAAUUCCAGGAGGUCAAUCCAGUUCUGCGAAUCCAUGGGGUAGUUAUUUUAAUUAUUUACAGCAACCACAUUUUCCACCAAUGCAACUGUUUGGAGAAAUAUAGCAAGGACUCCCAACCAGAUUGUAUUAGGGAUACUAACCAAUUGAAGGUGGUCACGGCUGAGCACAACGAUCAAUGAAUUCAAUGGCUAUUGGAGUUCAGUCUGUAAAAUGAAUAAGAGUGGAUACUCAGACGACAACUGAUGGAUGAAGCACAAAAGAUGUUUACCAAGAAGCAUAGCAAGCCUUUCGCACAUGUCCACUGGUGGAGGAUUCUAAAGAAUGAACCAAAAUGGUGUACUUCUGUUGCUCAGUCAGAGAAGGAUAAAAGCAAGUCCAUAGAAAUUGAUGACAGAUGUGAACAACGUAUGACCUGAAGAGACUAUGUCUGGAGAACAAGACAACGACGAUGAUAUUAACUUGGCUGACCCCAGAGAUCUAUACCCACUGGAUGAGGUCAUCGCCGCCGCCGACAUCCUAGAUGACUUAAUCAGUGAAGCUGAGGUGUUCUUGAAGGGUAGCGUCAAAGCUCUAGCAGAAGAAGCCUCUGAUCAUCGAUUGCGUCUGAGGAACUAUAUCAAAAGGCCACGUGAGGAGUAUCAUCGGCGUCUAGUGGAUGAUUAUUUUUCGGAGAAUCCUCUCUAUCCGUCUAAUAUUUUCCGUCAAAGGUUUCGGAUGUCUAGGCCACUAUUCUUAUGCAUCGUCGAUGAAUUAGGCAAGUGGUCUGAUUAUUUCACUACAAGGGUGGAUGCAGUCAGUCGACAAGGGCUCACCCCACUACAGAAGUGUACGGCGGCUAUUCGGCAGUUGGCUAAUGGCAGUGCGGCUGAUCAUCUAGAUGAUGCACUGAAGAUUGGUGAAACAACAUCAAUGGAGGCAAUGAAGUAUUUUGUCGAGGGUGUUACAUCUGUAUUUGGUGGACGAUAUCUGAGACACCCCACUAUGGAAGAUGCAGAGCGUCUGCUAAAAAUUGGUGAGCGCCAAGGUUUUCCUGGUAUGUUUGGCAGUAUUGACUGCAUGCAUUGGCAGUGAGAAAGAUGUCCAAAUGCAUGGAAGGGCCAAUUCACUCGAGGUGAUCAGAAAGUCCCAACGAUAAUUCUUGAGGCCGUGGCAUCACAUGAUCUUUGGAUAUGGCAUGCAUUCUUUGGAGUUGCAGGUUCUAAUAAUGAUAUUAAUGUCCUUAGCCAGUCUACUCUAUUUAUCGAAGAAUUAAAGGGUCAAGCUCCUAGAGUCCAAUACAUGGUCAAUGGGAAGCAAUACAACAAGGGUUACUAUCUUGCAGAUGGGAUAUACCCGGAAUAGGUUGUAUUUGUUAAGUCAAUAUCCAUGCCCAUCACUGACAAGGACAAGUUAUAUGCACAGGAACAAGAAGGGAAGAGAAAGGAUAUUGAACGUGCAUUUGGAGUAUUGCGUCGUCGAUGGAGCGUUCUAAAACGACCAGCUCAUCUAUAUGAUCGUGGUCAACUUGAAAUGGUGGUGCUAGCUUGCAUUGGACUUCAUAAUAUGAUAGUUGAAGAUGAAAAAGACAUUGAAGAGAAUCUUGAUCUAAAUGAGGCUCUUGGUACCGUGAUCGUCGAAGAACCAGAAUUCUUACCUGAAGACUAUGUUCCAUUUGAAAGGGUGCUAGAUAAAAAUGAAGACCUUCGAGAUCGUUCGACUCAUAUACAACUUAAGGACUUGGUGGAGCACAUUUGGAACAAGAACGGGCGACGUCGGAAUAUAUCUACGGAUUGAGAUAUACUAUAUGUAAUCAUUUACUUAUAUGAGACUAUUUAAUAUCAUAUAUAUAUUUAUUUACCUAUAUGAACUUUUAACAUGAGUUAUAACCACAUGUUUUACUA